AUGGUAUACAGACUCUACCGGGCAAUGUCUUGAAUCCACUGCCACACAUUUUAAUCCCAUUUUCUAUACACAGGUGAAGGCGAACCCACAGCAGACUGCCAAAAUGUGUAGUAUGGAUUGCCUUUUCAAUGCGGUACGGUCUGUACUGCACAUCUUUAAGCGAUUCUUUGACAAGACAAAGGAACUAUAUGAUAGCCCCUUUGAGCCACCCAAGCGAGAAUGACAU